rnacentral:misc_RNA from 1 species
UCUCCCGUGAGGGAGCAGUCUCGCCUGGCCAUAUAGGCAACAGACAACGGGGGUUGCGUUCGUUACCCCACUGAAGGGAACAGUUCAAACCACGAACUGACGACGACCAUGCAUCACCUGUGCUACACCCUCGAAGGCUCCCGAACUUUCGUCUGGGAUGCAGUAGCAUUUCUAACCUUGGUAAGGUUCUUCGUUUAUCAUCGAAUUAAGCCACAUAAUCCACUGCUUGUGCGAGUCCCCGUCUAUUCCUUUGAGUUUUAAUCUUGCGAUCGUACUACCCAGGCGGCUCGCUUACCGCGUUAGCUUAGUCUCACAGAGGGUCGAUACUCCGUAAAACGAGCGAGCAACGUUGAGGGCCAGGACUAC